rnacentral:rRNA from 1 species
GUACACUCCUGCGGGAGGCAGCAGUGGGGAAUUUUGGACAAUGGGCGAAAGCCUGAUCCAGCAAUGCCGCGUGAGUGAAGAAGGCCUUCGGGUUGUAAAGCUCUUUUGUCAGGGAAGAAACGGUGAAAGCUAAUAUCUUUUGCUAAUGACGGUACCUGAAGAAUAAGCACCGGCUAACUACGUGCCAGCAGCCGCGGUAAUACGUAGGGUGCAAGCGUUAAUCGGAAUUACUGGGCGUAAAGCGUGCGCAGGCGGUUUUGUAAGUCUGAUGUGAAAUCCCCGGGCUCAACCUGGGAAUUGCAUUGGAGACUGCAAGGCUAGAAUCUGGCAGAGGGGGGUAGAAUUCCACGUGUAGCAGUGAAAUGCGUAGAUAUGUGGAGGAACACCGAUGGCGAAGGCAGCCCCCUGGGUCAAGAUUGACGCUCAUGCACGAAAGCGUGGGGAGCAAACAGGAUGAGAUACCCCUGUAGUCCCAUGA